rnacentral:lncRNA from 1 species
CAAUCUCUAAUGGCUCUAGAUCUGGUCAAGAAACAUCAUGAGGAGGCAGUGGUGCAUGAAUAAGAGUAGGAUUAAGUGCACCAAUAAGAUUAGGGAUGGGUGCUGGUACAGGGGCAGGAGUAGGAACAAGCAUAGGUGCAGUAGCAAGUGCAGGUACAAGAGGCAGUGGUGGUAAUGCCCUUCUGUACCUAUUUGCAAUAAUGGUUUCCAUCAUGUGAAGAAAUUGGUUGAACUCUUCCCUAGUGGGACCAUCGUGGGGAGGCUGUCCUAAAGGUCUCCCACAUCUCAUACUGCUAUCCUACAACUAAAAAACACAAGUCUAUCAUUUUAAUUUUAGCUAAAGAAA